AGCGGCCGGGCCCACGGCCCCGAGCAGCCAUGCUGGGCGCGCGGGCCUGGUUGGGCCGCGUCCUUCUGCUGCCCCGCGCCGGUGCAGGCCUCGCCGCGAGCCGCAGGUGUCCUGGAGUCUGGCCCAGGACCUGGCCCCACAGGAGUCCCAGCAGGUGGGCGCUGAGUGAGGGAGUCCCCAUGUCUGGUUUCCUCUGUUUGUCCCUCACCUGGUCGAGUCCCAGACCCUACUGAUCUUGGCCUGUCCAGCCACCAACAGUAGGCUGCCUUCCAGUGGGGCCACACCCAGGCCUGCCAGAGAGAUGCCUCCAAGCAGCUGCUCCAGGAAGGGCCGGGGGAGGGGCCUGGGGAGGGGUAAGAAUGGAGCCCCAAGAACCAUUCUGCCCAUUGUGACCCGCCCUGACCUCACAGCCAUCCUUCCCACCGCCAGGCCCAGGAGGUUGGGGGAGACUAACCUGGCAAGGAGCCCCCAAUGAGCCACCUCUCCUCACCCCCCAAAAAACAUAAGGGGGAGCACAAAGGCCACAGUCUCCCCCAUGGUUCAGAAAGGUGGGUUGGGC
rnacentral:lncRNA from 10 species